UUCGGGAUGGCUCAGUUGGUAGAGCAUGAGACUCUUAAUCUCAUGGUUGUGGGUUCUAGCCCCACAUUGAGCAAAA